rnacentral:lncRNA from 1 species
UAUUAUAGAAUAAAAUUAGUCUCUUGUUAGUUAUUAAGGUCGAAAUAGUCAACUAUAAGUUUUGAGGUAGAUGGGCUUAUUAUCAUUAAACUCGGAAAUCGGCUGUAAUCAUUUUGGACAUGGGAAAUCAACUUCCUUUUCUCACCAAUUUCAAAUAAAAUAUAGUACCUUUUUCAGUUUGAUUCCAUGAAGCCUUUUCUUAAGAUUUCAAAUGGCAAAGAUAUUAGUUUAAAACAUGUCUUUCCUUAAUAAAAAAAUAAAUUUCAAGUUUAUAAGGAUCUAAGUAUUUAUUUUUAGUUAUCUUCAACGAUUCAUUUAGUAUAGGAUAAUUAACCAUCUUAUUUAUCUCUAUUUUGUAAAAUCUGAUCAAAAAUAGCAAAAGAGUAAUUUAUUUUUAAGAAUGUAAAAAUGUGAAGUUCUUAACAUAAUUAACUUUAUCAAUUAUUAAUUGAAAGCUUUUGUAGAGAAUUGACUUGAAAUAAUAAUAAUAAUAAUAAUAAUAAUUAUUAUUAUUAUUAUUAUUAUUAUUAUUUAUUUUGACAACAAUAAGGUUGCAUAUUUUUAGGAGUUAUCUUUUAUAAUUUUCAAAAAGUGGGUGAACCUUUCUAAAUUUUUUCUAAUCUUUUCUUAUAAAUAAUUAACAUGUUUUGUUUUGAUAAGACAAAUAUAUUUUAAUACCUUAUUUAUAUCCUUCUUAAUAAAGCUUUGAUUUCCCUAUCUAACUUAAGUUUGGCCGAUUAACCGUAGUUAGCGGAUCUUUUAGGGUGCCUAAUCCUUUCUCUUUAGGAUAAUUAGAAUCCUUAUCUAGAAUUUUAAGUUGCGUAGACCUUAAAAUGAAGUCUUUAAUUGCUUUAAUCACAUAGUUUAUAAUAGGUGUCCUAAUUCACCGUAGAACUAAUUAGGUGGCGACUUCUUUAACUUAAUUAGAAAUUUUUCAAUAUGUUGUACCUCAGUUUAACCCGUGUUAAAAUGGGGUAUAACAGCUUGGCGACUUCACUGGGGAUUAUUAGGUUCUUGGACAUAACAAACUUAGGUUAAUACUUAUGUUUUUAUACAUUGUUAUUUAUUCGCCUUAUUUGUCUUGAUUUAUCAUGUUUGUGUGACAUAAAUUAUUUAUUGCUAUUAUUUUGUGUAAGUUGCUUAUUUGUUACCGCUUUAUAUAAAUUGGCAUUCCGUUUAUAUUUUCUCCACUUUGAAAAAUUUACACUCACACACAAUGUACACGCGGAUUGUACAUUAUACUUUCUCAAAAUUCUUUCAAAUUACCUUAUUUUAGAUAGUCAGUGCAUACAUGGGGUGAGUGGGAGUUUUACUGCCGUGGGACCACGUGCCUUCUUAUAUAAGAAAUCCAAGUCCAUGUCAACCCAAAUCUUAGAAAACAUAAGAUAGAGCGUUGCCACUCUUGAUUUAGGCCAUGCAUGCAUAAGCCAUAGGUGGUUUGACCCAUGAUGUCAUUCCACGAAUUUAGGAAAUGCCUUUAUGUCAAAAGGGUUCACAACCCGAUGACGACCCUCAUAUUAUGUGAAGAGAUAAUGAUAAAUUGAUCCAAGUUAAAAUUUGACAAAAUUGAGUUUGGAAAAGCAUUUGCUUAUGUUAUUUUCUUGUAGGUUGCUAGAAUAGAUAACCUUCCUAAUUUUAACAACACCCAAAUGAUUGUGUGUGUACCACUUAAGCUAAGAAGAUGGUGGGAAAAUAUCAAGAUGGAGCAUGGGCUCGAGAUUAGGAGAACUUUGGGUUUCUUAACAUCAUUGAUUUACAUUCCUUCUAACAGGCAUAUAGUCAAGGCAUUGCUCAAGUUCUGGGAUCCCACUAGAGUCGUGUUCAAAUUCAAGGAUUUUGAAUUGGCCCCCAUAAUUGAAGAAAUUGGUGGAUUUACCAAUUUGAAGUAUUAAGGAUGGGGUAUGACCUUACCUCGCAAACAGUUAGGAAAGAAAUUCUAGCAUCUUAUUGGGCUCAGAAACAACCUCAAACUUGCAUAUUUGGAUCAUGAUUGGAUUUCUCUUGAUUACUUGUAUGAAAGAUUUGGUCACAAGGAUGGUCACAAGGUCUUUAGCAGAUAAUUCUCCUGUUCUGCUGAGAGUUGGAGAAAGAAAUGUCCUAUUUCUUUUGCCAUUGAUUUACUAGGUAUUCUGGUCUUUCCUUUGGAGCAUGGAAGGAUUGACACUUGCCUUAGUUCCGUGGUUCGAGAUCUUUUUCGUAGGGUUAAAAAUGCUGAAGUUACAUUGGUUCUGAUGAUUGUAGUAGAAAUGAUGAGAGCACUAUCCAAAUGCACCAGAGGAAGAAGGUUCUUUGAAGGUUGCAAUCUCCUUCUUCAGAUUUGGGCUAUAUAACAUUUCUAUAGACGUAAAUCUAUGGUCGACAUACUCUUUAGUAGACCCAACAAGAUCGACUCUCAUCUACAAGUGAUGGCAGAAUUUAUAGCUCUGGUAGGUACAAAUGAUUGGUAUGCAUUCAUGAGGGUGCUUACAGGCAAUCAAAUCCAAUAAAGGUACCCAUGGUUGUCACCUCAUGUUGCCAUCAUCAAGGGACGUACGACAUACUAUAUUGAGCUUAUUGUCUUGAAAGGUCCUCAACCAUAUGCUUCCUCAAAAGUGCUUUGGCAAUUUGGACGUCAUCAAGUCAUUCUACUUCAUUCAGAUAUGAGUAGAUUUGAGGUUGAUUUCGGGCCACUCCUCGAGAUUCCUAGAGAAAUGGAGUUGCUUCGAGAGUGGGGAAAUCGGAUGACAAUAGAUGUGCUUAACGAGAAAGCUUAUUGUACCCCAAAGUAUUAUGUGUGGCUAUUGGCAGAUAUGGAAGAUACAAGUUUAGCCAUCAAGGACAAGCUGUUGGGUUCGAGGAUCUUGAAGAAACAGAAUGGACACAUGGUAUCCUGAGUAACCACUUUGUCAUCCUACCUGAAAUGUGGGAACAAGCUAUUCCAGGAUCUUUGGCACACUUUGGAUCAUGAAUACUUAUUUUUGUGCCUAGAAUUUCUCUUUUAUUAUCAUGUACUCUCUUUAUGUUUUGGCUAGUAUUUCUGUUUUAUUAUCAUGUACUCUCUUUAUGUUUUUGAAAUCAAUGUAAUGGUCUAAUGAUAAUAUUUAAAUGAAGUGGUUUGUUUCUCAUUUUCUAACUCCAAACUCGAGCAAUGUUAUUAAUUUUAAGCUUGGAUCAAUUUUCAUAAUCUCAAUUAUUUGACGCAUAGCUCCACCUCUUGGCGCAAAAGAGGUCGUGUGCAUAAUAGGAUGCAUUUUUUAUUGUUGAAGUCUUUUAUUCUAUGCUUUGUUUUGCAACAUGAUGCACACUUUUCUUACAUUGUUUGCUUAACUGAGAGUUAUUUUAUGCGUGUAAAGUAUUUGCCUAUACUGAUAUAUUUCUUUAUCUUAAGGUUUUCUUUCCUUUAAUUUAUUCCCCAAAGGUUGAUUUGUGUUGACUACGAACUGGCUGAUCACCCAUACUUUACGAGAUCAAAAGCACUAGCAAACGCCAACAUGACUGAUUUAGGUACACCUUAUGGCUUAGGACUUGUCACUGUCCCAAGAGAUGAGCCUGAGACUUCGGGGGAGAGGGAUAUAACACUUCGUGAUGAACAUAUAGACUAUAUGAUACAACAAAUGGCCGACUUGCAAAGUGAAAUCAAUCGACUUCGAAACCUCACCAAACUAUCCAUUAGCAUGAAUACUCCACUUCCUGAACAUGGAACAACUACAACUAUUCCAUCUUCUUUUCUACCUAUUUACUCUCCCGCCUCCCCACACUUCAUACCAAAUCCUUCACUCCACUAAAACAACCCUAUUUCUACCAAACCUUCUGUUAACCCACAAGAAAAAAACCCACAACAAGUUGACUCGCAAUAAGCAAAUCCAUUAACCUUUACUACUCCAUAUAUUUCUCAAGCUCCUCUUAACCAAACUUCGUUUACCCAAGCUCCACAUACCCAAAAUAUCCCACUUGACCAAACUACCCUAAUCAUCCAAAAUCACCAAGCGGCCCCACAUAUAUUGAUGGCAUAUGCUUCAAUUUCUAAUACAUAAUAUAUGCCACAAGUAUAUGUAGUGGGAACUCAACCUUUCACUAGCCCAAUACUGAUCGCACAAGGAUCCGUAUGAAGAAAUGGAAAAGGAAGUAAGGUAAAAAAACAUAUGAGAAUAUAGCAAAGUAGAUUCACAGUUUAAAGAAAGCGUUCCUAAGCAUCCAACUACACAAAGUAUACGAAGCGAUUGAGUAUGAAGAUUUAUAUGUUUAUUCAGAUGUUGAGCUACUGAUUGGGUAUAAGGUGCCAAAAUUUGAUUUGUUUGAUGGGAAAGGGAAUCCUCAAGCUUAUUUAAGGUUGUAUUAUGACAAACUUAUCGGAUUAGGUAAGGAUGAGGCCAUUAGAAUGAAUUUGUUUAUAAGGAGUUUGAUAGGAGAAUCUUUAGAUUGGUAUACGAGCCAAAACCCACAGAAAUGGCGUGGUUGGAAUGCCCUGGCACAAGAAUUUAUGGAUAGGUUUAGGUUUAACACUGAAGUCAUACCAGACAGUUCCACUUGAUGAAGAUGGAGAAGAAAUUGAUGGAUUUCUUCAAAGAAUAUGCCAUGCAAUGGAGAGAAGAUGCCACAAAAGUUCAACCUCCGAUCGCAAAAAGCGAAAUGACUUCUCUUUUUGUGCAGUCUCAAAAAGAUGCGGCAUAUUAUGACAAGCUAAUAACUGUGGUUGCACAAAAGUUCUCCAAGGUUGUUAGGAUAGGAGAAUUCGUUGAAAAAGGUAUUAAAACUAGGAGAAUCACUAAUUUGGUAGCUUUACAAGCAAUAAGUAAAGCAAUGCAGUCUUAUCCAACUGGGGAGUAAAUAAAAAGAAGAAGGAUAGAGCUUCUGCACUCAUGACCAUUUAGGAUAAAAGGCCAAACCAAAUGUUAACAUAUAAAAAUACACCACCCUAGCCUUCCUACUAUAACCAAUAUGCUCAAACUCCUCACCCAUAUUACCAACCAUUGUCUGCCCCAUAUCCAGUUUAUGCCACCCAACCAGCAUAUUAUCCCCCUCGAGCACCAGCUUAUCAAAACCCGCUAUAAUAUCAACCCACCUACCCUCCUUAAACCCACUACCAACCAUAAAAUCGUCUUCCAAAUUCACCCAAACCUCGCUCGAACUAUGGAAAAAAGCCAACCAAAACCUAUACACCUCUAGCUGACCCCUUAUCCCAAUUGUAUGAAAGAUUAAAAACUGCAGGAGUACUCCAGCCGAUCCAAGGUAGAAUCCCCAAUCCCCUUCCUGGAUGUUAUGAUGGGAUAAAAAAUUAUGCUAACCACUCCAGGGUUUCUGGUCAUGACACUGAGAAUUGCCUUACUCUCAAGGAUAAGAUUGAGGCGUUAAUCAAAGAAGGAGUUAUUCAGCUCAAAGGAGCUCCCCCCAAUGUGAAUAACAAUCCCUUGACAAAUAAUGGGGGUGCCCAUGUAAACAUGGUCACCAUUAAUGAAUAAUGUAAUUUGGAAGGAACUAUUGUAUCAGUCGAUGAUAAAGAAAAAGUGGAGACAUCAGCUUUUGUCGCACCUAUAAUUACAAUCCAGAUGCGAGUGCCAAUUGAAGUAGAAGUUGUUGUUACCAGGCCCACUAUAAUAGCCUUAGUUGCUCAAAUACCUUCAAAUACUAAGACAGUUCCUGGGAAUUAUUCAACUGAUGCAAGGGACAAAGAAAAGGAAAAAUUAGUUGUAGAAGCUGCUGCUACGGGAAUGACAAGAUCUGGGUAUUAUUAUGCCCCUGAAGGAGUUGUACAAGGAGUUCCUAAUAAGGAAAAUAGUCAGAAUAAAGUUGUGACAGAGCUGGGGUAGAGGAUUUCUGAAGGAAAAUGCCAACUUAGGAGUAUUCUGAGUUGGAACAGCUAAAGAAAACUCCUGCCCAAAUCCCAUUAUUAUCAUUAUUAAUGAAUUCUACAACUCAUAGGAGCUCUUUGGUGAAGGUGUUAAAUAAAGCUUAUAUGCCAAUUGAGAUAACUAGCGAGAACCUUUCAUCUCUGGAAGGACAAGUUUUGGAAGCUAAUACAGUCUCUUUUCAUGAAGAUGAGUUUCCACCUAAGGGAUUGGGGCAUAAUAGAGCAUUAAACAUCACUAUCAUGUGUAGGUACAAGUUUGUUUCUAAAGUUCUCAUUGACAACGGCUCAGCUAUUAAUAUUUGUCCUUUUACUACCCUCCGAGCUUUGGAAAUUGACAUUGGGAAAGUGCGUGAAAGUAAUGUGAGGGUUAAAGGCUUUGAUGGGACUCAAAAAGAAGUUAUUGCAGAAACUGAUUUAGUGCUACAAAUUGGACCUGUGGAGUUUACAGUAGAAUUCCAAGUAUUGGAUAUUUCUGCUAGAUAUAAUUUGUUACUCAGAAGACCAUGGAUUCAUAGUGCUAACGCAGUACCUUCUACUCUGCAUCAGACAUUGAAGUCUGUUUGGGAUAAUCAUGAGAUUAUGAUUCAUGGAGAGAAGAAUAGUUCUGUCUAUCAGGAGAACUCAGUCCCUAUUAUCGAACGUAUGGAACACCUGGAUGGAUCCGUUUUUCAUGUUAAGGAGAUCAUGUGUACUGCCCACGUAGAAAGUUUAAAGUUUCCAUGGGUACUUAGGAUGGUGGCCUUUGAAAUAUUAAAGAAUUAUUUUGUGUCUGGUCACGAUCUUGGUGUGAACUUGGAUGGAAUACUAGAUCCAAUUCAAUUGUUUAGAUAGAAGAGCACUUUCAGUCUUUGAUAUGAGCCCUCUCCUGAAGAAGUCUCAUUGGCUAAUCCCAAAACAAAAGGUGACAUUUUCCUGCCAAAACCUGUACCACUCCUGAAUCAGUCAUUUUCUAAAGUGUUCGUUGCCCAAGUAUCGGAAGAAGAUGCUGAAGAAGACCUCGUGGAACGAGUCAAAAACUUUUUCAUUAUUAAAGAAGAAGUUGAGUGUAAUAAAAUUCUGGAGGAUUGCAUCGAGACCCUGACUAUCUGGGAUACUGAUCCUGGAGAUGCUUUGAACAAUUAGACUUGUACCCCAUCCCUGGUUCUCCGAGAAUCUUGGUAGAUAAUUGUAUUACUAUUUACAACACGAUUUAAGAUUGAUGCCUGAAUAGUGGUUAUGAAUUUAUGUGUUUUGCCUCUACUUUUGAUAGCUUAAAUGCCAAAUCCUGACUAUGUUUUGCUGUUUAUUUUAAAUCUUCUUCAUUAAUUUAUUUCCUCUUUUUCCUUUUUUAACGAGCAAACUAACAAAUUUGCAAUUACUAUGAAUGUGACAUGUAAUGAAACAAGCGAAAAAAUUCCAAAUAGCGAACGAGACUUUGCAGAAUAUAAAGAAGACACGAUGUCUGAAGAGUUAACUAGAGAAUUUGAACAUUUUGAAAAUAAGGAAAAACCAAAUUGUGAUAAAACUGAGACGAUUAACUUGGGGAAUUCGGAUCUUAUAAAAGAAACAAGGAUUAGUGUUCAUUUGACUCCAUCCUAAAGGAAAGAAUUAGUUAAUCUCUUGAAGAAGUAUAUAGAUGUGUUUGCAUGGUCCUAUGAUGAUAUGCCGGGUCUAAGCACAGAUAUUAUUUCGCAUAGGUUUCUAACUGAUCCAUCUUGUCCUCCUGUAAAACAAAAGCCGAGAAAAAUGAAGCCUGAUUUGAGUUUGAAAGUAAAGGAGGAAGUGUCCAAGCAAUUCGAUGCCAACGUCAUUCGAGUCACGAAGUACCCCACUUGGUUGGCCAACAUUGUACCCGUGUCAAAGAAAAAUGGAAAAAUCAGAGUAUGCAUGGAUUACCGAGAUCUCAACAAGGCUAGCCCAAAGAAUGAUUUCCCUCUUCCAAAUAUUCACAUACUCAUUGAUAAUUGUGCGAAGCAAGAGUUGCAGUCUUUUGUUGAUUUCUUCGCAGGGUACCACCAGAUCUUGAUGAAUGAGGAAGAUUCCGAGAAAAUUGCAUUCAUCACACCUUGGGGAGUGUAUUGUUAUCGAGUGAUGCCGUUUGGACUCAAGAAUGCAGGGGCAACUUAUAUAAGGGCUAUGACUACCAUUUUUCAUGACAUGAUCCAUAAGGAGAUUAAAGUUUAUGUAGAUGAUGUCAUUAUCAAGUCGUGAAAGAGAUCAGAUCACUAGACAGAUUUGAAAAAUUUUCUUUGACAAGCUAAGACAGUACAAUCUAAAAUUAAAUCCUGUAAAGUGUGCAUUUGGUGUUCCCAUCGGGAAGCUAUUGGGUUUUAUCGUGAGUAGGAAAGGCAUAGAAUUGGAUCCUUCUAAAAUAAUCCUCUAAGAAGUAGAAAGGACAUGAUGAUUUUUCUAGGUUGACUCAAUUACAUCAGUUGAUUUAUUGCACAAUCCACAGUGAUUUGCGAGCCGAUAUUCAAGCUGUUGAGAAAGGAUGUCGCUACUAAAUGGAUAAAAUAUUGCCAGCAAGCUUUUGACAGAAUCAAGGAGUAUUUGUCUAAUCUACCCAUUUUGGUGCCCCCAGAACUCGGAAGGCCAUCUUUGCUAUAUUUGUCUAUAUCAGACAAUGCCUUUGGGUGUGUUUUAGGACAACAUGAUAAAACUAGAAAGAAGGAGCAAGCUAUACAUUAUUUGAGCAAGAAGUUCACGCCUUAUGAAGCCCGGUAUACAUAAUUGGAGCGUACAUAUUGUGCCUCGACUUGGAUUGCACAAAAAUUAAGGCAUUACAUAUGUGCAUAUACCACUUUUUUAUUUCUAGAAUGAAUCAUCUCAAGUAUAUCUUUGAGAAGCCCAUGCCUACCGGGAAGCUAGCAAAGUGGCAAAUUCUGCUUGGUGAAUUUGAUAUUGUUUAUGUUACUCAAAAGGCGGUGAGAGGAGAAGCUUUAGCCGACUAUCUUGCUGAAAACCCUAUAGAUGAAGAGUAUAAGCCUCUUAAAUCUUAUUUCCCAGACAAAGAAGUUCUAUUUAUUAGAGAAGAUAUUUCAGAAGAAUAUCCAGGUUGUAGAAUGUUCUUUGAUGGGGCUGCAAACUUCAAAAGAGUCGGUAUUGGGGAAGUACUAAUUUCAAAGUCAGGCUAGCAUUAUCCGAUCUCAGCAAAGCUCAGGUUUCCAUACACUAACAAUAUGGCAGAAUAUGAGGCUUACAUUCUUGGUCUUAGAAUGGUUGCUGAUAUGAACAUACAGGAACUUUUGGUAAUAGGGGAUUCAUAUUUAGUGGUUCAUCAAGUACAAGGAGAAUGGAGUAUCAAGAAUGUGAAGUUGCUUCCAUAUUUGGAGUACAUGAAAGAGUUGCGCAAAAAGUUCAUCAAGGUUGAAUUUAAACAUGUUCUGAGAACUCAAAAUAAGUUAGCAGAUGUAUUAGCGACCUUUUCCUCUAUGAUUCAACAUCCAGACAAGAAAUUCAUAGAUCCUAUCAUGGUUAAUGUACAAGACCAACCGACCUACUGUCUUCAUGUAGCAGUAGAACUAGAUGACAAACCUUGGUAUUAUGACAUUAAGAGGUAUCUCAAAGACGGAGACUAUCCAGAAGGCAUAACCAGUAUUCAAAAGAGAACAUUUUGGAGAUUGGCAAAUCACUUUUUUCCUAAAUGGAGAAGUCCUAUACAGGAAGACUCCAGAUUUAGGAUAGUUAAUGUGUGUCGAUGCUCAAGAGGCGACCAAGUUAGUCGAAGAGAUACAUGGGGGCAUGUGUGGGCCGCAUAUGAAUGGUUUUAUUUUGGAAAAGAAGAUUCUUUGGGCUAGCAAUUUCUGGAUGACAAUGGAAACAGAUUGCAUUCACUUUGUGCAAAAGUAUCAUAAAUGUCAGAUUCAUGGUGACUUGAUUCAUGUUCCACCAAUUGAAUUCAAUGUGACAAGUUCUCCUUGGCUAUUUGCAGCAUGGGGCAUGAAUGUCAUCGGUCCUAUUGAGCCAUCCGCAUCAAAUGGACAUUGGUUUAUUUUGGUAGCUAUUGAUUAUUUCACCAAAUGGGUAGAAGCCUCUUUAUACAAGUUUGUGACAAAGAAAGUGGUGACAAAUUUUGUUCGAAAUAAUAUUAUUUGUCGAUUUGGAGUCCCGGAGUCAAUUAUAACAGAUAAUGGAGCUAAUCUCAAUAGUGGCUUGAUGCGUGAGAUAUGUGAGAAGUUUAAAAUUUCACCCUUUACCGUCCUCAGAUGAAUAAAGCAGAUGAGGCCGCCAAAAAGAACAUCAAAUGGAUAUUACAAAAAAUGAUUGAUAAUUAUAAUCAUUGGCAUGAGAAUUUGCCGUUUGCCCUCCUUGGAUAUCGCACCACUAUUAGGACUUCUACUGGAGCAACGCCUUAUUUGUUGGUGUAUAGAACAGAAGCAGUGUUACCCGCAAAAGUAGAUAUCUCGUCCUUGAGGAUCAUUCAGGAAACUGAGUUGAGUGACGCCCAAUGGAUUCAAAAUCGGUAUGAACAAUUGAUUCUAAUUGAUGAAAAGAGGAUGAACGCAGUUUGUCAUGGGCAGCUUUAUCAGAAUAAAAUGGCCAGAGCUUUCAACAAGAAGGUACAACCGAGAUAAUUCAAGGCGGGAUAAUUAGUGUUGAAGCGCAUAUUUCCACACCAAAAUAAAGCUAAGGGGAAGUUCGUACCUAACUAGAAAGGGCCUUAUGUUAUUCACCAAGUAGUGACAGGCGGAGCACUGAUCUUAGCAGAAUUGGAUGGUGAAGUGUGGCCGAAAGCCAUCAUGUAGAUGUUGUUAAGAGAAACUAUGUUUAAAAGCCUUUUUCUUAUGUAAUGUUCGUUUUGCUAUGUAAUGAAACUACGAAUGACCUAAUUUCCUUGGGGAAUACGCAUGAAACCAACGUCGGGUUUGGUCUUUUAAGUAGAAAUUUCUCCAAAAUCCCUCUUUACUUGUAAUGCGAACUACGGUUGACCUGACUUCUUUGGCGGAUACAUAGACGGACACAUCGGCCUCAAUCAUAUUAGAAGAAAAUUUAAUUUUCCCCCUUUUUUAUUAUUUAUUUCACGUGUAAUGAACUACGUUAAGCCUAAUUCCCUUGGGAUACGUAGGCAACCUACGAGGGUUCGGCCCCUUAGUUUUUAAUUUUCUUAAAUGUAUUUCAUAAACUAUGCUUGUCCUGAUUCCCUUGGUGGAUACGUAGGUAACCUAUACAAGGCUCUGUCUCAUCAUUUUGGAGUGUCAGCAUCUCUCAAGUUAAAGCUGGGAUAUCUUUUAAGGCGGCUUUGUUUCGAGAAAUGGUCGAGAAGAUGUUGUGAGAUGUUGAAGAGUGUGGGUUCAAUCAAGUAGUUGAAAAGAGAGGACAUUCGCUUUGUUUCACAAUAUGUCACAGUUCAAAAGUUUGGUAGAAUUUUUAUUUUUUUACCACUAUGCAUAAUUGCACAUUUUUCUUUAUCAAAGUCAUUUGUUACUCUUGUUUAUCUUUAUCUUAAAUAGCUUUCAAUUAAACAUGAUCUCAUCGUCCAUUGGCCAAGAUUUGAAAUGAAUUGGGUAAUAAGUUCAAACAAAACUGGAAGCACCAGGCAUCGAGAGCCAAACCUUCAAAGUCAACACAAAUCAACCCCCCCCCCCCAAACUUACAAAUUUUCUAAGUGCAGGUUUUUGGAGAACAGUAGAAACCAAAAGUUGAUAACAUUUGUAGUUCUGCGAGAAUUGCACCUCGAACGGUUUUAAUUUCCUUUAAAACAUUUAGGAGAAAUUAUGCUUUAUAAGUAGUACUGAUUAAAUGAUUCUGAAGAUUUUCUAAGGAUUGCAUACGCACUACACAUGAUUUUUGGUUAGUCCACAUAGAUGUCUUUUAUAAUACUGCACAAGUGUUUUCAAAUGCUUAAAAUGCACAAUACACUAUUUUCAAUUAUUUUGCACCGCAUAUGCACCGCACAAAUGCUUUAAAAUAUGUUAAAAUUCAUUGUACAUGGCAUUAAUGGCUUUGCAUAAGCACAAACGCAUUGCACAAUUGCUUUAAAUUAUUUUAAAUACUCAAUACAUGGCUUUCAAUUGCUUUGCAUAUAUGCUCUAAAAUGCACCGCACAUGCACUGAAAAUAUGCUUUAGAAUGCACUAUACAUGACUUUAAUGGCCUUCGCAUAGGCACAAUUGCACUGUACAAUUUCUUCAAGUUAUUUUGCAUUACGCAUGACUAUCAUUUUCUUCUUAGACACUGCACAAUCUCUUUAAGUUAUUUUCACUAUGCAUGGCUUUCAAUUUCUUUUAUAGCAUCGCACAAUUUCUUUCAAAUGCAUUGCACAAUUACUUUAUGAUAAUUGCACAAAACUUAUGGAUGCACCAAACAAAUAUUUUAGGAAAAUUCAUUGCCUGUGAAAGUCGUUUUUCAUAAAUCAUUGGCUUAGAAAAGGAAAGCCUCCAUCCAUUAAUCAUUUGGCUGAAAAUGCCUCAUCUUUAUAAUUUACUUGGUUUAAGGCCAUAUUUUCAUCGCCGAAAGGCAUCAUUCACAUGAAUCAUUGGCCUAAAAAUUUAUUUGCAUAAGAUUUGUUUCCAACUUGCAAGACCAUUUACAUAGAGUAACGCUCGAGGCAUUAUCUUCAUUAAUUCACUGAGUGUAUUUACUAUUAUGUACUAAUCGCUUUACCUAGUUUAAGUUUUGCAGGAACCUUAGCACAAAAGUGAAACUAUCUCUAAGCAGCGAACUAGGGCAAAGCUAGCGUAAUAUCAAGCAUCCCUAGCAGCGUCGAAGAUUCAAAAGCUCGACUCGACUCAAUUUUCAAAAUUCCCAUGCAACUUUAAACUGAUUUCACAAAUUUAUUCUUAUAUUCCAGCGGCAUCAUAAAUCUGAAACAGGGACAAAAUUUUGAGAUUCUCUAAAAAUUUUUGGAUAACAUAACUUUUGAACUACAUCGACCUGAUUCUCGUGAAACCCAGGAUAUAUAGGCGACUCAGAAACUAGGGUUCGGUCAAAUUCAUAAUCAAAAUCGUGCCAAUUUUAGCUUCACCACUCUACCUUUCAGGUGUAGCCUUUUCGUAAUUGGUCUAAUUUACCAGUCAAAACAAAAUUUGUUAGCGUCAACGCCUUCUCCCAAAGACUCUUUUCAUCAUCUUUGGUCUAAGAGGGACAAGUUGUUGACACCCUUUUUUGGCUUUCCUUUUCAUAAAAUUAAUUUUAUUGAUGCUUAGGAUUCUUGAAUAUUUUUCCAAUACAUUUUUCUUAUUUUUUUAUAUUAAUAGUUUGAAAAAUAAUAUUUUCUUAUCUUUGCACCUUAUAUAUUUACUCAGAAAAAUGAAUAAAUAACUAUAUUUUUAAAUUAUCAUUUUCAUUAUUUCCUUCUAAAAUGAAUAUAUAAUAUAUGUUAGCAUAAUAAUAUAAUCCUUGCUAUAUCAUUAUAUAUAUUAAAUAUAACAUAGAUGCAUAUUUGAAAUCGUGCAUAUGUGUAUAUGUACUUAUAUGUGUGAAAAUGUAUACUUUUUGGAAAAAUAACUAGAACAAAAUAAACAUUGAUGAAUUAAUUAAUUGAAAAUGAUUUAGGAAAAUUAGAUUUGUUACAAAUAUAAUUCACUUAUGCACAAAUUUUGGACCAUCCCUUUCAGCCUAAUACCACUACGACCAGCCCAAAAUUCCUUUGUUUUGCCUGAAAAUUAACACCAGCCCAACCCAGAAUAGCCCCGACCCGGCCCAAUUCUCUAAUUUCCUCCAACAAGACUCCAAUCCUUUCUCCAAGUUCAUUCCCAACCGAACUACUUAGUUCAUCUUCUUCACCAAAGAGCCCCAUGAACCUGCCUCUCUCCUUCUUUUGUCCAAUGGAUAAUCACCAAAAUCAAUACCACAGUCACCCAUCUCCAUCACUACAGCUUUAUAUCCCUUCACGUCCCCUUUCAUUGAAGUCUCAAAGCUACCUAUAGCUAAAAUCAUCUUAUGAGAUCUUCUGAAAGGGAAGGGAUAUGGGUAUCCAACAGUUUCUGAAGUGUUUUUACAUUGAUUUAGCAGUCAAAGAACUCAUCCGUCUUGAAGAAGUCAAGCCACCAAUAUCAAAUUUCCAUUUAAGUCUCAAUCUUACAAAUCUCAUCUGAAAAAGGUGAUUUUCCUUCAUCAAAAUGUCACUUUUAAAUUCAAAUUUUGAAUUUCUCAAGGCUUUCUCCAAGAAGCCAUUUUAAUUUUUCUUAUAAAAGGGGGUUCUUUUUCACCUCUCAAGAGAGGAAAAAAAGGUUAAAAAAAAUGGAGAAAUUUUGAGUCCCUUACUGUUUUCACUCUUAAGUUUUCUUAUUCUAUUUUAAUUUUCGGUCACUGCUCCUCCCGUCUCUCGUCGCUUUUCAUCGUUCGUACUCGAGGCUGGUGGGAAAGUUGUUCAUCGAAUCGUGGUUAUAUUCACUGCCCAAAACAAGUUCGAGUUGAAUCUUCGACGAAAAUCCCUUGUUAGCUGCCCCACGCAAGGAGCGCGUUUGGAGUCUCAUGACUCGAUCCCAUCUCUGUCCAAAUCAGAAAAGCGAACAAUAAUUAUUUUGCAUAUUUCCACAGAAUAGUGCCUCUUUCCCCUCUUUUUAAGAUUUAUUCGUCUUCUGUAGACAUCUAUUAAUAUUAUUGUUUUAUAUUUUGCCCAUUAUUGUUUAAAUUUUUUUUGUAUGUUUUCUUAUUUGAAUUAGCGUGAAAUUCUUAAUAUGAUAGUGAAUUUAUAAUUUUCCUUUCCACCUGUUAGAUUUUAAACUUAGUAUUAUCAUUAGACUUCGGUAUACGAUAUAUAUCUUUAAAAGGUAAAUUUGGUAGGUUAAAAUAUAUAUUUUUGAAUAAAGGUCAAGUUUAUUGGAAUUCCUUAAUACUUUUUUAAUACACAAUAGCGGCUUAGUUUAAAAUAAAAUUAGUCUCUUGUUAGUUACUAAGGUUGAAAUAGUCAACUAUAAGUUUUGAGGUAGAUGGACUUAUUAUCAUUAAACUCGAAAAUCGGUUGUAAUCAUUUUGGACAUGGGAAAUCAACUUUUUUUUCUCAUCAAUUUUAAAUAAAAUAUAGUACCUUUUUAAAUUUAAUUCCAUGAGGCUUUUUCUUAAGAUUUUAAAUGGCAAAGAUAUUAGUUUAAAACAUAAGCCUUUCCUUAGUAAAAAAAAUAAAAAUUCAAGUCUAUAUGGAUCUAAGUAUUUAUUUUUAGUUAUCUUCAACAAUUCAUUUAGUAUAGAAUAAUUAACCAUCUUAUUUACCUCUAUUCCAAAGCAGUAUAAUAUCUCAUGUGGACCCCACAAUUUUCUUCACAAUUUUUUAUAAAUGUUUUU